ensembl:snRNA U1 U1 spliceosomal RNA
AGAGUUACCUAGCAGGAGAAGUACCACGAUCUUGAAGGUGCUUUCUCCAGGGCAAAGUCUUGUCCAUUGCCUUCAUGAUGUGCUGACCUCUGUGAUUCCCCUACUAGUGAGAAACUCGACUUCAGAAUCUCUGCUUGAUAAUACCUAGAUAGUAAAAAGUAUAUAUUCG